GGCGCGGUGGCCUAAUGGCAAGGCAUUGCUUUCCGGUAUUUAAGAUGUUUAAAAAACUCUUAAGACACCUAGGAAUCUGGCAAAGAUUGCGAGUUCGAGUCUCGUCCGCGUCG